rnacentral:snRNA from 1 species
AUCGCUUCUUGGCCUUUUGGCUAAGAUCAAAUGUAGUAUCUCGAAACACUCAGAAUUAUUGUUGUAACUAGAGGAUCAUAGUCUGUUGGUGCAUUCUUUUUUCUUUUUUAAAUUUUUUUAAAGAUUUUUUUAUGAAAUCAUAGCUGUGUACAUUAAUGCAAUCAUGAAGUACACAUAUACA